UACGUAGGUGGCAAGCGUUAUCCGGAAUUAUUGGGCGUAAAGCGCGCGCAGGCGGUUUUCUUAAGUCUGAUGUGAAAGCCCACGGCUCAACCGUGGAGGGUCAUUGGAAACUGGGGAACUUGAGUGCAGAAGAGAAAAGCGGAAUUCCACGUGUAGCGGUGAAAUGCGUAGAGAUCGGGAAGAACACCAGUGGCGAAGGCGGCCGGCUGGGGGCGCCCUGACGCUGAGGCGCGAGAGCGUGGGGAGCAAACCGGG
rnacentral:rRNA from 1 species